UUUUAAUUGGAAACUCGUAUGAAGGGUUGGACAAAGGAUAAUCUGUUUUUAUUUUUAUUUUUGAAUUUAUCUUUUAAGUGAAAAGACUUGAAUAUAUUUAAGGGACGAUAAGACCCUAUAAAUCUUUAUAUUUAAUUUAAUGUUUAUAUUGAUUUUUAAUGUAAAUAUAAAAUAAAGAUUAAUAAUGUUAUGUUGGGGUGACAAGAAUAAAAAAUAAACUGUUCUAAAAAUAAACAAAGUUAUUUGAUUAAUAGUAGAUCCUUUUUAAAGAUAUAAGUUUAAGUUACUUUAGGGAUAACAGCGUUAUUUCUUUUGAGAGUUCAAAUCGAAAAAGAAGUUUGCGACCUCGAUGUUGAAUUAAGAUUUCUUUAUAGUGCAGCAGUUAUAUAAGAAAGUCUGUUCGACUUUUAAAAUUUUACGUGAUCU
rnacentral:rRNA from 1 species